rnacentral:rRNA from 1 species
UAGGGAAUCUUCGGCAAUGGACGGAAGUCUGACCGAGCAACGCCGCGUGAGUGAAGAAGGUUUUCGGAUCGUAAAGCUCUGUUGUAAGAGAAGAACGAGUGUGAGAGUGGAAAGUUCACACUGUGACGGUAUCUUACCAGAAAGGGACGGCUAACUACGUGCCAGCAGCCGCGGUAAUACGUAGGUCCCGAGCGUUGUCCGGAUUUAUUGGGCGUAAAGCGAGCGCAGGCGGUUAGAUAAGUCUGAAGUUAAAGGCUGUGGCUUAACCAUAGUACGCUUUGGAAACUGUUUAACUUGAGUGCAAGAGGGGAGAGUGGAAUUCCAUGUGUAGCGGUGAAAUGCGUAGAUAUAUGGAGGAACACCGGUGGCGAAAGCGGCUCUCUGGCUUGUAACUGACGCUGAGGCUCGAAAGCGUGGGGAGCAAACAGGAUUAGAUACCCUGGUAGUCCACGCCGUANCGAUGAGUGCUAGGUGUUAGACCCUUUCCGGGGUUUAGUGCCGCAGCUAACGCAUUAGCACUCCGGCCUGGGGAGUACGACCGCAGGGUUG